GAUGAACGCUGGCGGCGUGCCUUAUACAUGCAAGUCGAGCGAACGGACGAGAAGGUUGCUUCUCUUAUGUUAGCGGCGGACGGGUGAGUAACACGUGGAUAACCUACCUAUAAGACUGGGAUAACUUCGGGAAACCGGAGCUAAUACCGGAUAAUAUUUUGAGCCGCAUGGUUCAAAAGUGAAAGACGGUCUUGCUGUCACUGAUAGAUGGAUCCGCGCUGCAUUAGCUAGUUGGUAAGGUAACGGCUUACCAAGGCAACGAUGCAUAGCCGACCUGAGAGGGUGAUCGGCCACACUGGAACUGAGACACGGUCCAGACUCCUACGGGAGGCAGCAGUAGGGAAUCUUGCGCAAUGGGCGAAAGCCUGACGGAGCAACGCCGCGUGAAUGAUGAAGGUCUUCGGAUCGUAAAACUCUGUUAUUAGGGAAGAACAUAUGUGUAAGUAACAGUGCAAAUCUUGACGGUACCUAAUCAGAAAGCCACGGCUAACUACGUG
rnacentral:rRNA from 1 species